ACGCGGCGUGGUAGGUCAGCCUCUUAACGGAUUGAGGUGCCAAACGCGUAGGACGUUGAAGGGUGUAGGUAAGUCCGCACCCCGAGUCCGAAACGUGAUGGCGGUGCCUUAGAGCCACAAGUGAUUGAGCCAUGCCGCCUAGAAAAGCUUCUAAGCGUUGAUAUUUGAGUGACCGUACCGCAAACCGACACUGGUAGGUGGGUAGAGUAUACCAAGGGGAGCGAGAGAACCUUCGUUAAGGAAUUAGGCAAAUUUCCCCCGUACGUUCGCAAUAAGGGGGGCCUUUGGCGGUGAGCUUAAUCGCAAAGCUGCUGGAGGCCGCAGAGAAAUGGCUCUUCCAACUGUUUAACAAAAACACAGGUCUCUGCUAAGCCGAAAGACGAAGUAUAGGGGCUGACGCCUGCCCAGUGCUGGAAGGUUAAGGGGAGAGGUUAGGCGCAAGCCGAAGCUUUGAGCCGAAGCCCCAGUGAACGGCGGCCGUAACAAUAACGGUCCUAAGGUAGCGAAACUCCUUGUCGGGUAAGAUCCGACCCGCACGAAUGGCGUAAUGAGAGGAGCACUGUCUCAACGAGGGACUCGGCGAACAUUGAAGGACGUGUGAAGAUACACGUGACCCGCAGCGGGACAAAAAGACCCCGUGAAGCUUUACUACAACUUGCCAUUGAGUUAGGGCUAAACCUGUGUAGUAUAGGUGGGAGGCUUUGAAGCUGGGACGCCAGUCUCGGUGGAGCCACCGUUGAAAUACCACCCUGGUUUAUUCUUGGCUCUAACCUGUCGCCGUUAUCCGGCAUGGGAACAGUGGCUGGUGGGUAGUUUGACUGGGGCGGUCGCCUCCGAAAGCGUAACAGAGGCGCCCAAAGGUUCCCUCAGGCUGAAUGGAAACCAGCCGUUGAGUGUAAAGGCACAAGGGAGCUUGACUGCAAGACCAACAAGUCGCGCAGGGACGAAAGUCGGGCUUAGUGAUCCCACGGUUCAGAGUGGAAUGGCCGUGGCUUACCGGAUAAAAGCUACUCCGGGGAUAACAGGGUAGUCUGGUCCAAGAGUUCAUAUCGACGACCAGGUUCGCCACCUCGAUGUCGGCUCAUCACAUCCUGGGCUGGAUAAGGUCCCAAGGGUUGGGCUGUUCGCCCAUUAAAGUGGUACGUGAGCUGGGUUCAGACCGUCGUGAGACAGGUCGGUCUCUAUCCGCUGUGGGCGUAAGGGAUUUGAGAGAAGCUGCCCCUAGUACGAGAGGACCGGGGUGGACGGACCUCUAGUGUGCCAGUUGUUCUGCCAAGAGCAUUGCUGGGUAGCUACGUCCGGCAGAGAUAACCGCUGAAAGCAUCUAAGUGGGAAACUCGUCUCAAGAUUAGAUCCCUCAUCCGUAUGGAGUAAGACCGCUAGAAGACGACUAGCUUGAUAGGCGGCAGGUGUAAGCGCAGUAAUGUGUUCAGCUUAGCCGUACUAAUGGUCGAGGGCUUACGUUG
rnacentral:rRNA from 1 species